AAUUUACUAAUGAAGAAAAAAAACACAUUACCUUUAAGUAUAUGUGGCUGCCUUUGUGGUUUUAUUCUGCUAUUUUUCGGGCACAACUACAGUUGUUCUCUAAGCUCCUGCCCCUCGAGCCUCUGAGCUUUAAUGGCCAGAGAUUAAUGGAACCUGUCCAGUGUAACAAACCAGAAAUGCAUACCAACUAGGCACCUAGGUACACACAAAUAGAUAUUGUCAAUUUACUUAGGACAGUGGCCGUGGGCACCAUCUGCAGUCGACGGCUCUCCAUGCUUGUUUGAUCACAGGGAGACUUUUGUCACUUGAACAAACCAAAUGAAGUGUGAAGUUUUCAGGCCAUUAUACAGUAUGCACAGUAAUGCUGGGCCGUCUCUUACGCUCAAAACCGAAACUCAGAAGCCAUCAGGAAUGAUGCACAUCAGCUAGCUUUACAGGCCAUUUCAUUAUCUGUAAAAACACAGGCCAACCUAGAACUUUUCUCAUAACCUUUUGCUCUAUAGCCUUGAAGGACUUAUGACUGCUUCAGGGUGAACCUUUUCUUUUUCUUUUUUUACAGUGCAAUCUGAGAUUUUUCUGUCUCUUUCCGCAAUGGCUGACUUUAAAGGGGACAUAGAAAAUCAAUAGGUCUCAUUAGAUCAGUUAAAAAAAUAUUUUGUUGUCCUUUAUGUCUUUAUGGGGUGAGGAUUCAUGUCAUGAAAGCGUCCUCUCAGGAAAUUGUGGGUGGAAGGAACGGACCAUUUCUGAAAAUGAUAAUACGAGCAAUAUUCAGAAAAAUAAUAUGAAUAUCCAGCAGUACAGAAGGAAUGAAAAAGGGACAGGCAGAAAUUUAUCACAUUCAAACAGUUUGGAUUUAAUUUAAGAAAGGCAAAGGCUGUCUCUGACCCGAAUGUGACCACGCUUUUCACAUCCAAUUAUUUCUUCUGCCAUGACGAGCAGAAAUCAUUUUUUUUAGAACGGGAACAUAAUGGUGGGUGAAAUGACAGGUUGAGUGAAUGCAUCUCUCUCUACGGCUGUUUUCAAAGGACUGACAGUUGCUCUCCACCAGCUCUUUGGCAUAGAACAAUGAAAAGCAGCAAGGAGCCGACUUGCCAUCUGUAGUAUGACUGAGUCUGUACCGCAAAUUCCAGUUACACUUGCUGUUUCAUCUACGGAUGCACAGAGUCUGACAUGAAAAGCAGGACAGGGCAGGAACCGCAAGCCAGGUUCUCCUCCAAUAAGCUCAGCAGGAACAGGCACGAUUUUUUCCCUCCAUCUGUAGCUACUGAAGUGCAAGCGUGUCUCAUCCGCCUGUCAAUCACACACUUUAUAGCAGCAAAAUCCAUCUGGGGAAGAUAGAGACUGUUUGAAUUAUUAGUGUCACACUGCUGAAUCUAGAUAGGUACUGUUUUUGCUAUCCUCUGACUAUAAUUUCUUAUAAAAGAGGGAUGUCUGAUCUGAGAUCAGUGUCAUAACACUGAGAUAAAAAUGCAGGCCUUGGUUUGAGGGUCAUAGAAUCACAAUUUCAGGCACGGGGUGGCUAAAAGUAGAGCUUUUCCACCAGUUUUUGUUAUAUAAGCAAGAUCGAAUGGUUAUCUUUUUUGAAGGAGUAAGAUUGUGUUUCAUUUCGAUCUGCUGCUGCGGAGGACUGUGAACUGAAACUACUUGGUUGUUGUACUGUAAAAAGAUUUGUUUGAAAGCUGUUUAAGAGAAUUGAUCGAUAUUAAAGAGACAGUUCACCUAAAAAUGUUGUUCCAAGCUCAAUUAUUUUUAUUUUCUUUCAAUGGAACAUGAAAGGAGAUAUUUGGCAGAAUGUCUGAGCUGCUCUUUACAAUGACAUUGAAUGGAAAAGUACACUGCCACACUUCAAACAAAAAAACACCAGAGAAAUGCCCCAAAAAUAGUCUGUACGGCUAUAUUCCAAGUUUUCUUUAGUAGUCCAGUACUCUUGUUUGACAUUAAGGAUUUGUUCUCAGACGUCUUGUGACUGAUAGCAGCACAUUUAAAUGUUUUGAUUGGAGGAUAACUGAGAGCUAAAUGAAUUGCACAGUCUGUUUGGCAAAGA